AGAAGUUAUUCCUGCUUUAUCCUCAGAGCUGUGAACACUGUUUUGGAUUCCUGGAAAAUAACUGUGAAAAAAAGAAGUAGUGGAAUUUUUUCUGCACUGAAAAAACAGUUGGGUUGCCAGAAAUUUGAGAAAAGAAAUCUACAGUCUGGUACUGAGCCUGUGUAGUUUCUUCUGCAGUACACAUGAGCUCUGAUUUCAGCAAAAAAAUUUCUGCGGGAAUCCCACCUCCACAAUUUUUUGCAGGUUAUAAAAACCACAAUUUUUUGCUGAGUAUAAAAAGUCCAGGCACAUCUCACGUAAGCCAUUCUUGCUUUAUCCUUGGAGCUGUACAUUAUUCUUACUUUUUUCUUGGAGCUACAAACAUCCCUUUUGAACACCUGGAAAAGAAUCUGCAAAAAAGAAACAGUAGAGUUUUUUCUGCACUAAAAAGAAUCAGAUGUGAAUCGGAAAUUCGAGGAAAUAAAUAAUCUGCUGUCUUCCUGAUAAAACAAUAAAGAGAAUCUGCAGUCCUUCUAUAAUUGAGAAGUGGACCGAUUGAGCAGCAACAGAAGGAAAAGAACUGCUGAACUUUGCAGACAACCUUGUCAUCAUCGUUGUCAACCUCAGCUUAAUAUCAGUAGAGCAAGACUUUGUAUACAUUUAUAAGUAACAGGUGAGCCAGCCACAAAGAGCAUGUUAAAAUCAGUGACAGCAGUCUAGAAGGGGUUUGUGAGAAUUCAGCUUUUAAAAAUCGAAUAUGUAGAGGCAUAAUAGUCACUCAUGAUGGGUUCAAAAAUCUCAGACAAUUUGUGCCACAUGUCUCCUGGUUUUCACCAAUAGAGUGUAAGUCCUGGAUUGGUUAUGAACUGUAGAUUAACGCUGAAGAAAACAUAAAAGGGUAGGAACUUAAGGGGAUGGGACCUGAAUAAGUUGAAAGAACCAGAGAUUGUGGAGACCUUCAGAGAGAGCAUCAGGCAACAGUUGAGUAGAGCUCGGGAAAGCAAUACAGUACAAGAUGAAUGGGUAGCUUUAAGAGAUGAAAUAUGAUGAAAGGAGAAAUUUAAAAUUGCAGGAAAUGAAGUAGGCAAAAGGGAAUACAAACGUUUAAAGAAUUAGAUUCACUAGAGUUGCAAAAUUGCUAAGCGGGAAUGGCUGGAGGACAAAUGUAAUGAUUUAGAAGCAUAUUUCACUAGGAUAGAUACUGACUACAGGAAAAUUGAAGAGGUCUUUUGGGAAAAGAGAAGCAGCUGUAUGAAUAUCAAGAGCUCAGAAGAUAAACCAGUCCUAAGCAAAGAAGGGAAAGCUGAAAGGUGGAAUGAGUAUAUAGAGGUCUAUAUGAGGGAGAUGAGCUUGAAACAGUAUUAUAGAAAGAGGAGUUGAUAUAGAUGAAGAUGAGAUAGGAGAUAUGAUACUGCAAGAAGCAUUUGACAGAAUACUGAAAGACCAAAGUCUAAACAAGGCCUCAGGAGUAGACGACAUUUCAUUAGAAUUAUUUGUAGUCUUGGGAGAGUCAGCCAUGACAAAACUCUUCCAUCUCAUGUGCAAAAUGUAUGAGACAGGCAAAAUACCCUCAGACUUCAAUGAAUGUAAUAAUUUCAAUUCCAAAGAAAGCAGGUCCUGACAGGUGUGAAUAUUACUGAACUAUCACUUUAAUAAGUCACCAGUGCAAAAUACUAACACAAAUUCUUUUCACAUGAAUGGAAGAUGACUUCAGGGAAAUCAGUUUGGAUUCUAAAGAUUUGUAGGAACUUAUCUUAGAAGAUAAAGGUAAGGAAAGGCAAAGCCACAUUAAUAACAUUAGUAGACUUAGAGAAAGCUUUUGAAAAUGUUGACUGGAAAUUCUGAGGGUAGCAGGGGUAAAAUACAGGGAGUGAAAGGCUAUUGACAACUUGUACAGAAACCAGACAGCAGUAAUAAGAGUCAAGGGUCAUGAAAGGGAAGCAGUGGUUGAGAAGGGAGUGAAAAAGGGUUGUAGCCAAUCUGUGAUGUUAUUCAAUUUGUACAUUGAAGAAGCAGUAAAGGAAACCAACCAAAAGUUUGGAGUAGGAAGUGAAGUUCAGGGAGAAUAAAUAAAAACUUUGAGAUGCCAAUGACAUUGUAGUUCUGUCAGAGACAGCAAAGGAGUUGGAAGAGCAGUUGAAUGGAAUGGGCAGUGCUUUGAAAAGAGAAUAUAAGAUGAACAUCAACAAAAGUAAAACAAAGAUAAUGGAAUGUAUUCAAAUUAAAUCAGGUGAUGCCAAGGGAAUCAGAUUAGGAAAUUAGACACUUACAGUAGCAGAUGAGCUUUGUUAUUUGGUCAGCAAAAGAACCGAUGAUGGCCAAAGUUGAGAGGAUAUAAAAUGUAGACUGGCAAUGGCAAGGAAAGUGUUUCUGAAGAAGAGAAAUCUGUUAACAUAGAGUAUAGAUUUAAGUAUUAGGGACUCUUUUUGUGAAAGUAUUUGUCAGGAAUGUAGCCACGAAUGGAAGUGAGACAUGGAUGAUAAACAGUUUAGAUAAAAAGAGAAUAGAAGCUUUUGAAAUGUGGUGCUACAGAAGAAUGCUAAAGGUUAGAUUGGUCAGUCACGUAACUAAUGAGAAAGUACUGAAUAGGGUUUGGGAGACGAGGUUUGUGACAAACUUGACCAAAAGAAGGGAUUGGCUUAUAGCACACAUUUUUAAACAUCGAGGGAUCACCAGUUUAGUUUUUGAGGGACGUGUGGAGGAUAAAAAUCAUAGGAGAUCAAGAGAUGAAUACAGUAAGCAAAUUCUGAAAUACAUAAGUUGCAGUAGUUAUUCAGGGGUGAAGAGGCUUGCACCGGAAAGAGUAGCAUGUAGAGUUGCAUCAAACCAGUCUUCGGACUGAA